rnacentral:misc_RNA from 1 species
CAUCUUACAUCAACUUGAGCACAGAAAACAGAUUGUUGUGAAAUGGAUCUGAUAUGUGCUCGAGAAGAUUCUGAACUGGACCUUUACCAGUCAAAGCUGCUUGCGCAUAAAAGCCUAACCAUGCAACCAUUGCUAAGCGCCCAUUUUUAAUUUCUUUCACCUUCAGCUCCUCAAAAGCUACUGGAUCGCUGGAGAGGUUCAAGGGAUCAAAAAGUGCCCCUCCUGGAUAAUUGAUAUCACCUGGCAAGUAAAUUCCCAAAGGCUCCAAUGCCUGAAUCCCGCAAUAUCUUGCAUAUUCUGGUCCAACCAUUAAGAGGGCUUGGCAAAUAGCAAUGACAAACACUCCUUGGCUUCCAGCUAAGUGGAGUCCAGGGAUGCCAAGGUAGUCCAAUGUAUCUCCCUUAAGCUUUGAAUAGCCAACUCGCCACCAGACAGGUUCAAUGAAGUGAAAGGCGCCUGAUAUAUCCAGUAAUUCUGGAACCAGAGCACCAAGGGCAGCAAGCAUGGCCCAACGAGCAUGAAGUAUUUCAAAAUUAAAGUAUCUCUGAAAAGCCACAGAAUCCUUGCUCAGACCUGCAACAUCAAAGCC